CCUACGGGAGGCAGCAGUAAGGGAUAUUGGUCAAUGGGGGAAACCCUGAACCAGCAACGCCGCGUGAGGGAAGACGGUUUUCGGAUUGUAAACCUCUGACCUCUGUGAAGAUGAUGACGGUAGCAGAGGAGGAAUCUCCGGCUAACUACGUGCCAGCAGCCGCGGUAAUACGUAGGGAGCGAGCGUUGUCCGGAUUUACUGGGUGUAACGGGUGCGUAGGCGGCUUGGCAAGUCAGUAGUGAAAUCCAUGGGCUUAACCCAGGAACUGCUAUUGAAACUGUCGGGCUUGAGUGAGGUAGAGGUAGGCGGAAUUCGCGGGGGAGGGGUGAAAUGCGUAGAGAUGGGGAGGAACACCAGUGGCGAAGGCGGCCUACUGGGCUUUAACGGACGCUGAGGCACGAAAGCGUGGGUAGCAAACAGGAUUAGAUACCCUAGGAGUC
rnacentral:rRNA from 1 species